rnacentral:rRNA from 1 species
GAGUUUGAUCCUGGCUCAGGAUGAACGCUAGCGACAGGCUUAACACAUGCAAGUCGAACGAGCGAGAGAGAGCUUGCUUUCUCGAGCGAGUGGCGAACGGGUGAGUAACGCGUGAGGAACCUGCCCUGGAGUGGGGGACAACAGUUGGAAACGACUGCUAAUACCGCAUAAGCCCACAGCACCGCAUGGUGCAGAGGGAAAAGGAGCAAUUCGCUUCAGGAUGGCCUCGCGUCCAAUUAGGUAGAUGGUGAGGUAACGGCCCACCAUGCCGACGAUUGGUAGCCGGACUGAGAGGUUGAACGGCCACAUUGGGACUGAGACACGGCCCAGACUCCUACGGGAGGCAGCAGUGGGGAAUAUUGCACAAUGGGGGAAACCCUGAUGCAGCGACGCCGCGUGGAGGAGAAGGUUUUCGGAUUGGUAAACUCCUGUCUUCGGGGACGAUAAUGACGGUACCCGAGGAGGAAGCCACGGCUAAC